rnacentral:rRNA from 1 species
GACGUAGGGCGCAAGCGUUGUCCGGAUUUAUUGGGCGUAAAGAGCUCGUAGGCGGCUUGUUGCGUCGACCGUGAAAACCCGUGGCUCAACUGCGGGCUUGCGGUCGAUACGGGCGGGCUAGAGUUCGGUAGGGGAGACUUGGAAUUCCUGGUGUAGCGGUGAAAUGCGCAGAUAUCAGGAGGAACACCGGUGGCGAAGGCGGGUCUCUGGGCCGAUACUGACGCUGAGGAGCGAAAGCGUGGGGAGCGAACAGG